AUACGUAGGACCCGAGCGUUGUCCGGAUUUACUGGGUAUAAAGGGUGCGUAGGCGGCCUUGUGCGUCAGAGGUGAAAUAUCCGGGCUUAACCCGGAGGGUGCCUUUGAUACGGCAGGGCUUGAGUGCGAGAGAGGAUGAUGGAAUUCCUGGUGUAGCGGUGAAAUGCGUAGAUAUCAGGAGGAACACCGGUGGCGAAGGCGGUCAUCUGGCUCGUAACUGACGCUGAGGCACGAAAGCGCGGGGAUC
rnacentral:rRNA from 1 species